AACAUUGACUUCAUCUACUUGAUUUCAUCGUAUUCACACAAAUGCUCUUAUGCCCUUUGUUUUAAAGGUUGUUUGUUUUUCCAAAUUGCAGACAUUGAUUUUGUUUAUUCCUUAUAUGCUUACAGGGGUGGUGAUGUUCUAUAAAGGUUCAGGUGUGGUAUAAAGGUUCAGGUGUGGUGAUGUACUAUAAAGGUUCAGGUGUGGGGAUGUAUUAUAAAGGUUCAGGUGUGGUGAGGUACUAUAAAGGUUCAGGUGUGGUGAUGUUCUAUAAAGGUUCAGGUGUGGUGAUGUACUAUAAAGGUUCAGGUGUGGUGAGGUACUAUAAAGGUUCAGGUGUGGUGAUGUUCUAUAAAGGUUCAGGUGUGGUGAUGAUGUAUUAUAAAGGU